rnacentral:misc_RNA from 1 species
AAGUCGUAACAAGGUUUCCGUAGGUGAACCUGCGGAAGGAUCAUUAUCGUUGGGCUUCGGCCCAUUCGAGAUAACACCCUUGCCUUUUUGAGUACCCUUUCGUUUCCUCGGCAGGCUCGCCUGCCAACGGGGACCCUUCAAAACGCUUUGUAAUACCUGUAAUUGUCUGAUAUAACAAGCAAAAAUCAAAACUUUCAACAACGGAUCUCUUGGUUCUG